UACGUAGGGCGCAAGCGUUGUCCGGAUUUACUGGGCGUAAAGAGCGCGCAGGCGGCUGGUCAAGUCCGAUGUGAAAUCUCCCGGCUCAACUGGGAAACUGCAUCGGAAACUGAUCGGCUUGAAGAUGGGAGAGGGUAGUGGAAUUCCCGGUGUAGUGGUGAAAUGCGUAGAUAUCGGGAGGAAUACCAGAGGCGAAGGCGGCUACCUGGACAAUUGCUGACGCUCAGGCACGAAAGCGUGGGGAGCAAAAGGG
rnacentral:rRNA from 1 species